GGACCUUUCGGGGUCAGCGGCGGACGGGUGAGUAACGCGUGGGAACGUGCCUUCCGGUUCGGAAUAACCCUGGGAAACUAGGGCUAAUACCGGAUACGCCCUUAUGGGGAAAGGUUUACUGCCGGAAGAUCGGCCCGCGUCUGAUUAGCUAGUUGGUGGGGUAACGGCCUACCAAGGCGACGAUCAGUAGCUGGUCUGAGAGGAUGAUCAGCCACACUGGGACUGAGACACGGCCCAGACUCCUACGGGAGGCAGCAGUGGGGAAUAUUGGACAAUGGGCGCAAGCCUGAUCCAGCCAUGCCGCGUGAGUGAUGAAGGCCUUAGGGUUGUAAAGCUCUUUUAUCCGGGACGAUAAUGACGGUACCGGAGGAAUAAGCCCCGGCUAACUUCGUGCCAGCAGCCGCGGUAAUACGAAG
rnacentral:rRNA from 1 species